AUUGAACGCUGGCGGCAUGCCUUACACAUGCAAGUCGGACGAGCGGCGAACGGGUGAGUAACGCAUCGGAACGUACCGAGUAAUGGGGGAUAACUACUCGAAAGGAUAGCUAAUACCGCAUACCAUUCGAGCGGCCGAUGUGUGAUUAGCUGGUUGGUGGGGUAAAGGCUCACCUAGGCGACGAUCAGUAGCGGGUCUGAGAGGAUGAUCCGCCACACUGGGACUGAGACACGGCCCAGACUCCUACGGGAGGCAGCAGUGGGGAAUUUUGGACAAUGGGCGCAAGCCUGAUCCAGCCAUGCCGCGUGUCUGAAGAAGGCCUUCGGGUUGUAAAGGACUUUUGGUAGGGAAGCGGUACCUGCAGAAUAAGCACCGGCUAACUACGUGCCAGCAGCCGCGGUAAUAC
rnacentral:rRNA from 1 species